AGUCCCGUAGGCGAACGAAUAAGCCGUCAGCCCCUCAAGCUGGAGAUGCGGGUUUAAAUCCCGUCGGGACUUCCA
rnacentral:tRNA from 3 species